rnacentral:lncRNA from 1 species
ACUUAUCUCAGCCAAGAGGGAUGACUCUUGAAAAUACACAAAUGAUUCUUCCAUACUCCUCUUCUUCCUUCUGUUAGUGGACAACAUCUUGUCCUUCUCUCUCUUUUUUUUUUUUUUUUUUUCGACUUUCAAGGUUCAGGCAAAUUUGCCAGGUCGAACAUGACACUGCUUUGGUUGAAAAAUAGUAUGAACUAUGUAGACAAGCCACCUAUGUUUAAGAAAUCCCGGAAGGUUUGUAACACUCCAUCUCUCUGACCCCCCUCUGAAGCAAUAAGCCCUUUGAACCAUGAUUUAUCUUACUAUAUGAUCAGAGCCAAAGAUGCCAAAAUGUUAACCAAGUAAAGGCAUGUUAAUGUCACUUGGAAGCUUAUCGAAAUUUAAAAUAUCUGCCCAACCUAGUUCCAGUUGUUUUAAGUUGGUAGGCAAACGUGGAACUUUUGCCAUGAAUCGUUUGUCUAAAUUUUAUAACUUAUACACUCUUCUUCAAGUUUUGAAACUAUGGAUAGCCAUCAAUCAUUGGAAGACUAUAUAAAUAUAUUUAAGGUAUCUGGUCCCUUCAGAGGGUCUAAACAAGAUAAGCUGUUCAAAAUUGACUCACAUCUUCAGGUGUCACCAUCCUCCUCAAUUCUUCCUCGGAGGGGAUGCGGGAAUUGCGCCUCAUAACCCAAAGAAGUUGUCCAUUGGGUCCCCUCUGGUACAUUGCACAUGCAGGAAAUAUGAUUUAUUUUAACAAACGGAAUAUCAAGAAUGAGCAAUUUAAAGAUAUAAUUACUGCUGUUACAACUAAAUGGAGGCAUGUCUUCUGCAUUAUUCUUUAUUUCCAAUUUUUGCUUCCUUUUCAUUUAGUUUGUUUGUAUGUUUUAUUUCACUUGUUAUCUUCUUGUUUUUGCGGUUUAUUUUAUUUUUUGAAGGGUGGGGAUGGGGGGAUCAAAAUUGCAUGAUACCUGUAAAUCAGCAAUAUUUUUCAGUUGCUUCCGAACAACAGCUUCAGAGAAGCUAGGAAAUAGAGCAGACAACUCAUCUGCACGUAUGGAAGGAUGCAAACCACGCUUUUCCGCAGCAUAGAACUCUCUAUACAUGUAAACCAGUAGCCUCUUCCCAUUAUAUGACUGCACAGUACCUUUUGCAGGCGAUAUUACUUCCAUGUGAGGCUCCUGUAGAUUACAGUUAGGGACAGAAAAAGGCAUUUAACAGUAAAGCAAACUUACAUUAAAUAUUUAAAAUAUAGCAACUGAAUGCUGCAAAGCAAGAUAGAAGUGAACAAAUGGAAAAAGGAAUGAUGAGGCCAGCAACCUACACCAUACGCACCGUUCUCUAAAUUUGUUGAACUUGAUGGGGGGGGGGGGGGGGGGGGGGGGAUUAAAAUAAACAACAUGGCUUUGUAAUUGGAUUUGGUGCUUGUCUCUGGUGGAUCAUCGUGAAAUAAUAGUUGUCAGCACCUCCAAUGCCCUUUAAAAUUCAGUUGUUGAGGAGUACACCUCAUAAUAUCAGCUAAAUUAUUGGAGUUAAGUCCCAAGAAACGAAAAUAAAACAAACAAGUGAGAAAGGAGGGUUCUUUUUGUCGAUAUCUCAUGAAGUUAAAUGCUUCCUGUCCUUUCCCCAAAUGAAUGAGACCAUUAUUGCAUUGUGCAUCUUGUGAUAGAGCUUGAUGAAGUCUUGACAGUUUUAAAACAUGUUUUAAAAGUAUGAGGAGUGCAUCAAAUCCACAACAAUGCAAACAGAUGUGGCAAAAGUGAUGGAUGAUCAACAUAAGGCAAAACGAAAUGCUGGAAAAUCAACAUAAUGAAUAAAGGUGAGAAAGCAGUGUCUUAUAUACCUCAACUGAUUGGCAGGAAAAAACUGGAGAUAUGCCUCACUUUUAACAGAAAUGGGAGAAUCUUCCUUGAGAACCAUAGUUUCAAUAUUAGUUAUGAUUUGGACCUUCUGAUCCAUGAGUUUUAUUUUAAGUCAAGAUUUAUUUUCUAUUCAAGUUUAAUUGGGUUUUCCUUAGUAACUAGACUUAUUGUUAGACUUAAUAAAC